rfam:Myotis davidii contig144894, whole genome shotgun sequence.
GGUGGUUCUCAGGUGAUGCAUCCUGGACUUGGGUUCCCUACUCUCUGGUUCCGGGGUGUGUCACCCAGGAACUGCU